CCUACGGGAGGCAGCAGUGAGGAAUAUUGGUCAAUGGCCGGAAGGCUGAACCAGCCAUGCCGCGUGAAGGGCAGUGCCCUAUGGGCGUUAAACUUCUUUUGUGCGGGAGCAAUAAUGGUCACGUGUGGCCAGACGAGAGUACCGUACGAAUAAGCAUCGGCUAACUCCGUGCAAGCAGCCGCGGUAAGACGGGGGAGGCAAGCGUUAUCCGGAGUUAUUGGGUUUAAAGGGUGUGGCGGCUGGGAGGUAAGUCAGCGGUGAAAUGCCCCCGCUCAACGGGGUGAAGGGCCAUUGAUACUGCCUUGCUGGAUUGCGGAUGCCGUGGGAGGAAUGUGUGGUGUAGCGGU
rnacentral:rRNA from 1 species